rnacentral:tRNA from 1 species
GAAAAAGAACGCAAGGGCUGCUAACUCAUGCAACCAUACCUAAGACUAUGGCUUUUUCG